rnacentral:rRNA from 1 species
UACGUAGGGGGCAAGCGUUGUCCGGAAUCAUUGGGCGUAAAGAGCGUGUAGGCGGCCCGAUAAGUCCGCUGUGAAAGUCAAGGGCUCAACCCUUGAAUGCCGGCCGAUACUGUCGGGCUAGAGUCCGGAAGAGGUGAGUGGAAUUCCUGGUGUAGCGGUGAAAUGCGCAGAUAUCAGGAGGAACACCAAUGGCGAAGGCAGCUCACUGGGACGGUACUGACGCUGAGACGCGAAAGCGUGGGGAGCAAACAGG